rnacentral:snoRNA from 1 species
UGCCUUUGUGUUGCCCAUUUAUUAACUUCACUAAUGAAUGUGGUGUCAGAAAAGGCAUACAAGAACUCUUGCUGCCAUGGGUUCAGGAGCUGGUUAUGUACCUUUUUCCUCCAUUUCUGCAAGGACAAUU